rnacentral:rRNA from 1 species
UACAGAGGUCUCAACCGUUGUUCGGAUUCAUUGGGCGUAAAGGGUGCGUAGGCGGCGGGGUAAGUCAGGUGUGAAAUCUCGGGGCUCAACCCCGAAACUGCACUUGAUACUGCCUCGCUUGAGUACUGGAGAGGAGACUGGAAUUCAUGGUGUAGCAGUGAAAUGCGUAGAGAUCAUGAGGAAGACCAGUGGCGAAGGCGGGUCUCUGGACAGUUCCUGACACUGAGACACGAGGGCCAGGGGAGCAAACGGG